GAUGAACGCUGGCGGCGUGCUUAACACAUGCAAGUCGAACGGAAAGGCUCCUGCUUGCAGGGGUACUCGAGUGGCGAACGGGUGAGUAACACGUGGGUGAUCUGCCCUGCACUUCGGGAUAAGCCUGGGAAACUGGGUCUAAUACCGGAUAGGACGAUGGUUUGGAUGCCAUUGUGGAAAGUUUUUUCGGUGUGGGAUGAGCUCGCGGCCUAUCAGCUUGUUGGUGGGGUAAUGGCAUACCAAGGCGUCGCCGGGUAGCCGGCCUGAGAGGGUGUACGGCCACAUUGGGACUGAGAUACGGCCCAGACUCCUACGGGAGGCAGCAGUGGUGAAUAUUGCACAAUGGGCGCAAGCCUGAUGCAGCGACGCCGCGUGGGGGAUGACGGCCUUCGGGUUGUAAACUCCUUUCGCUAGGGACGAAGCGCAAGUGACGGUACCUGGAGAAGAAGCACCGGCUAACUACGUG
rnacentral:rRNA from 1 species